AGUGAACGCUGGCGGCGGGCCUAAUACAUGCAAGUCGAAGGAAGUGGCGCACGGGUGAGUAAUAUAUAGCUAAUCUGCCCCUUGCGGGAGGACAAACGUCAGAAAAGAGUGGUAAAAACCCAUAGCAAGGGAUGGGACUAUAUCGUAUCAGCUAGUCGGUGGGGUGACGGCGUACCGAGGCUAUGACGCGUAACUGGUCUGUGAGGAUGAUCAGUCAACUUCGAACGGAGACACGGUCCAGACUCCUACGGGAGGCAGCAGAAGGGUGUUAUGCCCAAUCGGGGAAACCCUGACGCGGCAACGCCGCGUGGAGUAUGACACUUUUCGGAGCGUAAACUCCUUUUGUUAGGGAAGCGGUACCUAACGAAGAAGCACCGGCUAACUCCGUGCCAGCAGCCGCGGUAAUUC
rnacentral:rRNA from 1 species